rnacentral:misc_RNA from 1 species
GGGGAAAAAAAUCUCCUUUGAAUAGAUGAUCAUGGCUUCAAAUAAACAUGAUAAGAACGGUUGCAAGUUUGCAACCAUCAAACAAAACAACUAAAUGUUUACAACAGGAAAGCCACAGAUUCAGUGGAUUAAAACAACCCAGAUGGUUGAUUCAUUAGCCUUAUGUUGAAGCUGUAGCUGCAACAAUUGGAUUUGAGUGAAGAUUUUUACUGGAACCAAGUCUCCCACGCCCAAUACCAGUCCUCUGCCCACUAAAUCCCCUCCUAGCCUCUUCCAUGUUAAGGCCCGAUUCAGAUACUGCAUGCUUUUGAAAUCCUGCUGGGUUCUUCUCAUCCUCAUCUCUAGUGUUUGAUCUUGAAGUCCAGCGAUCGGUUGAAUCAGCUGAGUUUGGUUCCCAUGAAGAGGUAGUAGAAUAUCCCCAAUUCUGUUGGCUACCACCCACAAAGCUGUUGCUGCCUGAGGAUUCUUGCUCAUCCAUUUCUUCUACACAUGAUGUGCCACCCCUCCUCACUGUCACAUACUUGUGGAAGCUUGGCUCCAUUAAAUCAUCACUUACUAGGACUUCAGAUUCUACAAAAGGAUCUUUGGCCUCUGUUAGUUUUUUCCCAACAAGAUUAGCUCCCAUGGUGGUAGGGCUUCUUCUAUCCUCGACAAAUGCACAAGAAAGAUUGGAGCUUGUAGUGGAGUUGAGAUCAGCAACUGCUUCAAGAAUGGAGCAGGCCUUGGUGACACACGGUGGAACUGAGAAUGAAGGGGUUGUGGUGAUGU